AUUGAACGCUGGCGGCAGGCCUAACACAUGCAAGUCGAACGAGUGGCGGACGGGUGAUUAAUGUCUGGGACACUGCCUGAUGGAGGGGGAUAACUCCUGGAAACGGUAGCUAAUACCGCAUACCAUCGGAUGUUCCCAGAUGGGAUUAGCUAGUCGGUUGGGUAAAGGCUCACCUAGGCGACGAUCCCUAGCUGGUCUGAGAGGAUGACCAGCCAAACUGGAACUGAGACACGGUCCAGACUCCUAAGGGAGGCAGCAGUGGGGAAUAUUGAACAAUGGGCGCAAGACUGAUGCAGCCAUGCCGCGUGUAUGAAGAAGGCCUUCGGGUUGUAAAGUACUUUCAGCGGGGAGGCGUUACCCGCAGAAGAAGCACCGGCUAACUCCGUGCCAGCAGCCGCGGUAAUAC
rnacentral:rRNA from 1 species